rnacentral:rRNA from 1 species
CGUGUAGGCGGCUCAUCAAGUCUGGUGUGAAAUCGCAGGGCUUAACCCUGCAUAUGCGCUGGAAACUGGUGGGCUUGAGUUCUUGAGGGGAAGCUGGAAUUCCAGGUGUAGGGGUGAGAUCUGUAGAUAUCUGGAAGAACACCGGUGGCGAAGGCGAGCUUCUAUCAGAGGACUGACGCUGAGGCGCGAAAGCGUGGGGAGCAAACAGGAUUAGAUACCCUGGUAGUCCACGCUGUAAACGAUGUGCACUAGGCGUGGGGCACGUACGUGCUCUGUGCCGUAGUUAACGUGUUAAGUGCACCGCCUGGGGAGUAUGCUCGCAAGGGUGAA